GGGAGACUGAACCCGAGUGGGCAAGGCUUGCCCUGUCACACAGCCAGGACCAGAGCCACCGCCUGCCUCUCUCUGAGUACCCAGGGACCUAAAUCCCCCGGCGUCAACUCCCUGCUGGGCUCGGCGAGGCUGGGCUGCGCGCUCUCAUUGGGUGUAGCCAACCCAGAGAAGUCGCCGGCCUCUUCUUCCAGUGGGGAGUCCAUCUGACCCAAGACAGUGGGAGGCCAAGGACCGAGUGCAGAGCUGGUGCACCUCGGGGACGCUGAGUCCUGGUGGAUGCCAGUGCCCUUACUGCCUGCUGGUCAGAUGGUUCCCAGGUGCUGCCAGUGAAGUGUCCCCAGGAUACAUGAAGGAUCUCAGAGUACUAAGAAUUGAACUCAGGACCUUGUGCUUGCCGGGCAGGUGCAGCACCACUGAGCUACAUCCCCCCGGCUGAUCCUUCUAUUACAGACAGCCGAAUUAGUUAAAACUAUUAUAAGCAGACAGAUAGGGCGAGGUCCUUGAGAGUCAGGACAAAGGUAAAACACAACACAACUGCGUCCGGAGACACAUCUGUUGGAAGGCAGGCCUCAAGAUAAAGACAAGAUGACCAGACCUGUAUACUUCCCCAAAGGACAAACACCGGGCCUAAUGAAGUCCAGAUAGACAUCAGCCACCCAGAGACCUCUGGACCCACCAUUUCCUAGGAGGAGUCUUUGUUCUUUCCAUCCAUGCCUGUUACAUGACUUGUUUCCCAAUGGUUUGGACCACCAUUACCUGAGUGGCUGUACUUGUAACCUCAUUGGUUGAUCAUGGCUGUGGCCCAUGUUAUACCCACGUGGGUUUUACUCCAUAAAAC
rnacentral:lncRNA from 1 species